CUCAACCCCUGAGGCUGUCCCCAGGCCCCGUCAAAACCUCUACCAGAAGUUCUCCAGCAGCUCUUCCUGAACUUUAUGGGUAAGUUCAAGGCAAAGGUUCCAGGAAGUCAUAUUUUAGCCCGCCUCUGGCCCAAGCCCCAGUGCAGCAUGAUCAGUAGUGAGCCGAACACUGCAUUUUCAUCUCCAUCUGGCUUGUGUGUCGAACACACAAUUGAUUCUGAAUCUGGAAAGGAAGAACGUAAACUAAAUACAGGACCUGAAAUAGUGCUUCUUCACAACCAAAGUAUGACCUCUUCCCUGAAGAAACCACGUGUUAGCAGCACAUGUUCCUCCUACCACCAGCCCACCCUACUGCCAGCCUGGUGAUAGUUGGGGGUGGAGGGAAUAACAGCAUGAAUGCCUUAGGACUGGGCUUGAAUCUUCUGUUUUGGGGGUUUGGUGGGACUUGUUUGUUGGUAUUUAUACAGUGUUAUACAGAUAACAUUCUAUUAAUUACUUAAGUUCAAUUCCCCUGGAAAUGGAAAUGAUAUCAGAAACCCAUACCUGGAGAGAAAGAAUAAUUAUUUUGUUUGGCUUUGGUAACAUCCAUGAAAGAAUCUCCUUCUUUCUCAAAGCAGUAUAUCUCAGAGGAGGCAGCCUAUGUUUCUGUGUUCAAUUAAUAUCCAGUAGAUUACUGUGAAACUCUUGGUUCUGCUGUUUAAUUUUAAAAUUCCCCUUCAAUUUUCCUCCUUCAAUUGAACUGAUGUUCAGGUAAAGCUAUGAAACAAUCCAAAGACAAAUAAAAGGAAAGACAAACAGCA
rnacentral:lncRNA from 1 species